GCCCUACGGGACGCAGCAGUGGGGAAUAUCGCACAAUGGGGGAAACCCUGAUGCAGCGACGCCGCGUGAGUGAAGAAGUAUUUCGGUAUGUAAAGCUCUGUCAGCAGGGAAGAAGAAAGACGGUACCUGACCAAGAAGCCCCGGCUAACUACGUGCCAGCAGCCGCGGUAAUACGUAGGGGGCAAGCGUUAUCCGGAAUCACUGGGUGUAAAGGGAGCGUAGACGGCUGUGCAAGCCUGGAGUGAAAGGCGGGGGCCCAACCCCCGGACUGCUAUGGGAACUGUAUGGCUGGAGUGCAGGAGAGG
rnacentral:rRNA from 1 species